ACCUGAAAUCAAGCAAGAUCACCCGCUGAACUUAAGCAUAUCAAUAAGCGGAGGA
rnacentral:rRNA from 4 species